GCACAAGCGGUGGAGUAUGUGGUUUAAUUCGAUGCAACGCGAAGAACCUUACCUGGUCUUGACAUCCCGGAGACCCUUAGGAAACUAGGGGGUGCUUCCAUCUGGAAGAAUCUGGAGACAGGUGCUGCAUGGCUGUCGUCAGUCUCGUGUCGUGAGAUGUUGGGUUAAGUCCCGCAACGAGCGCAACCCUUGCCUUUAGUUGCCAGCAGUUCGGCUGGGCACUCUAAAGGGACUGCCGGUGUUAAACCGGAGGAAGGUGGGGAUGACGUCAAGUCCUCAUGGCCUUUAUGACCAGGGCUACACACGUACUACAAUGGCCGAUACAAAGGGCAGCGACACUGCGAGGUGAAGCCAAUCCCGUAAAAUCGGUCUCAGUCCGGAUUGGAGUCUGCAACUCGACUCCAUGAAGUUGGAAUCGCUAGUAAUCGUGGAUCAGCAUGCCACGGUGAAUACGUUCCCGGGCCUU
rnacentral:rRNA from 1 species